rnacentral:lncRNA from 1 species
UUAGGAUUUAUUCUCGUAGUAUUCUUUAAUUGAAUAAAGAGUACAACAAACAAAUAGUACGCCUCAGAAUUUUAGUGAAGUAGGAUGCGCCUACAAGAUAUAUGUUAAUGUUGUAAGGGGAAAAAGUGUCUUUAAGGUUACGCCAUAUGAGUUAUCGCUAUAGGUGUGAUAUGCUAGGUGUGCUCGAACGAUAUGCGAAAUAGAUUUUGUAACGCUAUUGGUUGGGAGACACUUGAAUAGAUUGACUAGUCAAAUAGCAUCAACAUUGGAUUUUCUUUUAUAUUUUCUCCAAUUUUUGUAGGACAUUAUAGAUACAAUUUUUGUAUGCAUUUGACACUUGUAUAUAUAUGGUAAGAAGGGAAUUUUUAGAUGGUUUUUCUUCCUUCUAUUCUAUGCUUAAGUUUUUCUUAAGAUUAAAUAUUCACUUCUUCUUCGUUAAACUAGAAGCUAAGGUUUCUGGGGUUAUCAGUGGAUGUUUCAACCCUCUAGUAAGUUUGGUAUCUUUGCAUGUUAGGUUUUUGAAAGAGUAAAAAUGUUAUGAAGCAUAAACAAUAAGAUAUGAAUAAGAGACCUUGCACGGGGGUCAUAUGUAAAUGAGAUGAUAGCAAAUUAUCUAUAAAUGAGUUUUUAAUAGUGAAUCCAUGUUCUUUUAAGUAGUUAUUGCUGCUUGUUCGGAAAGGGCGAUCAAGUUUGGAACUCCGAGCUUCAGUAAGGUGAGUUUCAAGUAAGUCCUUAUCUUGACUCAUGCAUGUUAAGUUUACAAUGAAAAGACUUAUAUUGAUGUCAUCUCAAAUGUUUGGUAAGUGUGUAAGAAAUAUCAUCUAGUUACGGCAUGUUACAAAUAAAACAUAUAAGUUACAAUGGAAAGAUUUAUGUAGAUGUCAUCUCAAAUUAUCUAGGCUCGAGCCCAACAAGACCUAACUCACCGAAAUGGUUUUGUUUCAUUAUUUUUAAAAUAAAUUUUUUUUAUAAAGUAUUAAUAUAGACUUAUUUACUUUAUAGUUUUUAAUUAUUGAAUAGUAAAUUGGAUCGGUGGAUGAACUCCACUACUCAUCACUCACCCUGAGCUAUCAAGCACUAAACUCGUCAUUCAAACCUUUCACUCCACACCCCAAACAAGUCUGACCAUCACACUUCAAUCUCCCCAUUUAUUUAUUAUCAAAACCAAAUACUUCAAAC